AUGGCGACCGCCGGCAACGCCCCCCGCUCCCGCAAGCGCGUCGAGGCCACCGUCCUCAAGCGCGCGCGCGACGGAAGCGCCUUCACCCGCUGCGAGGCGUGCAACAAGGACGUAGCCAUCGUCCUCAUCGACCUCCACAGCUGCAGCCUCGACUCCAAGAUACGCCUCAGCCUCGAGUCGCAGGUGGUGGAGAAGUCCGUCGAGAUCCAGGAGAAGAAGAGGAAGGCGCCCUCAGCUGCCGCCGGAGGCAAGGGGAGGAAGAAGAGCAAGGCGGACGGAGAUGGUGCCAAGAAGCCAAAGGCAAAGCGCCCACCGACUGCCUUCUUCCUCUUCAUGAAGGACUUCAGGGUGGAGUUCAAGGCCUCCCACCCGGAAGAGAAGGGUGUUGCCGCCGUUGGCAAAGCAGCAGGGGAGAAGUGGAAAUCCAUGACUGAAGAGGAGAAGAAGCCCUACAAUGACCAGGCCAAGGAGCUCAAGGCCCAGUUUGCCAAUGGCGAGGGCAGCGCGGAGAACAAUGUGGGAGAUGAGAAGGCAGACGUGGAUGCAGAAGAGGUGGAGGAUGCGGAGCAGGAGGUGGAUAAGCCAGAAGACGCCCCAGAGGAGGAGGAAGAGGAAGAGGAGAAGAACGAGCUGGAUGAUGACAUCUAG
rnacentral:rRNA from 1 species